AAGAUUAACGGAUAAAAGUUACUCUGGGGAUAACAGGCUGGUUUCGCCUAAGAGUCCAAAUCGACGGCGAAGUUCGGCACCUCGAUGUCGGCUCAUCUUAGCGCGGGGGUGGAGAAAACAUACCUUCUCUCCUCAUCGGAAACGAUGAGGUAAUUAAACAAGCUCAAAACGGUAGAGACCUCAUCAUGCGAUCUGUGUUUCGCAGGUCCCAGGUGGAUGAUAUAAUCCAUGCAUGACGGUUAGUGCCGUAGGAAAGAUACGUUCAGAAGUCGAUCGAGCAUAUCUUGCCGGUCUCAUUGAUGGCGAUGGCUGUAUCAUGGCCACUAUCGAGAGGCAUGGCGAGAAGAAAUUCGGAUUCCGUGUACGAGUGGAAGUAAAGAUAACGCAAAAGAAAUCAGAUUUACUUGUAAGUCUUAGGAAACAAUUCAAUGUCGGCAGGAUUGCGCCUAAUCGCACGACGUGCGACUGGAUUGUAAGAGACAAACAAGAAGCUGCUUUUAUUUUGGAUGUUAUUGCACCGUAUACGAGAGACAAGGCGAGGCAAGUGAGAUUGGCGCAGGAAAUUCUCUCGACGCCAAUACUUUCACUUCUCGAACUUAAACGAAUGGCUCGAUUAGCGGAUACAUUGUCGCGGUUCAACGUGCGAUCAAAAAAUCGCCGCAAGAACUAUGCGUCAAUGAUCAAAGGACGUGUCUCCUCUAACGACUGAUUGCUUCGGUUUUUUGGCCGGAGCAUGAGAUAUGCGUCGCAAAAGACGGUAUCACACGGCUUGCACCUACAUAUUCUUUGGUAACAAAGAAAGAUACGGUGAUGGAAUAGUCUGAUACUCGUGGAAACGCGAGAUAACAAGAAAGAGCUCCCAAGCGUAUGGCUGUUCGCCAUUUAAAAAGGUACGUGAGCUGGGUUCAAACCGUUCAGAAGUUCAUUCGUGGACUCUUGAACGGUUUGAACCCCGAGGCUACAUAGAAAAAUAAAACUGUUACAAACAACUAGAAAGAUAGUAAGACAAUUCACGGCGGCGCAUUUCAGGAAUGUUAUGCGACCAAUUCAACUUAUAUCGGUGAAAUCCUACAACGGACAACACCGAGGGAAGUUUGUGAUCAUCACAGACACCCGUAGAGACUGAAUGUUGAACACCCCGAACGGGUGAAGUUACAGUCCGAUGCACACAGUAAUGUGUGGAAACAUGCGUGAGACAGGUUGGUCUUAAUCUGCUGUAGGCGUUGAUUCUUGAGGAGAUUCGUUUCUAGUACGAGAGGACCGAAAUGAACUGACCUCUGGUCUGGGGGCUGUCGUACCAACGGCACCGCCCCGUAGCUAUGUCGGGAUAGGAUAACCGCUGAAAGCAUCUAAGCGGGAAGCCAACUCCAAGAUUAGGAAUCGUUAUAGACUCGUGGGAGAUGACCACGUUGAUAGGCACCAGGUGGAAGCGCAGUAAUGCGUUGAGCCGAGGUGUACUAAUAAGUCGAAUCAGAAUUCUC
rnacentral:rRNA from 1 species